CAGCCGCCACGGUAAUACGUAGGGUGCAAGCGUUAAUCGGAAUUACUGGGCGUAAAGCGCGCGUAGGUGGUUUGUUAAGUUGGAUGUGAAAUCCCCGGGCUCAACCUGGGAACUGCAUUCAAAACUGACUGACUAGAGUAUGGUAGAGGGUGGUGGAAUUUCCUGUGUAGCGGUGAAAUGCGUAGAUAUAGGAAGGAACACCAGUGGCGAAGGCGACCACCUGGACUAAUACUGACACUGAGGUGCGAAAGCGUGGGGAGCAAACAGGAUUAGAUACCCCUGUAGUCCCUGUCUCUUAUAA
rnacentral:rRNA from 1 species